GACGAACGCUGGCGGCGUGCUUAACACAUGCAAGUCGAGCGGUAAGGCCCUUUCGGGGGUACGACGAGCGGCGAACGGGUGGAGUAACACGUGGGUGACCUCGCCCUCCAGCUCUGGGAUAAGCCUGGGAAACCGGGGUCUAAUACCGGAUAUGACUCCAUGACGCAUGUUGUGGGGUGGAAAGCCUUGUGCGGCUGAGGAUGGGCCCGCGGCCUAUCAGCUUGUUGGUGGGGUGAUGGCCUACCAAGGCGACGACGGGUAGCCGGCCUGAGAGGGCGACCGGCCACACUGGGACUGAGACACGGCCCAGACU
rnacentral:rRNA from 1 species